GCCGAAAUCCGUUUAAUGCUAAUCUGGCAACCCCGAGCCAUUUUUCCGCUUUCUUUAUUGUCCUCCCUCUCUUUAGCCCUUCUUUUCCCUCUGACUUCUUCGCCUGCUCUAUAGCGUGGUGGAGCUGUCAGAGCCCGAAACGACACAUUUCUUAGUUUAAAGUUCUUUCAUUGUCCUCGAGGUUAUAUACUCUUCUGAUUGUUAGUGUCUCCUCUUCCUACAUUGUCCAGUCGCCACCUUGGCUCUAAGACUAUUCGCCAUUCUCUGGCCCCCCCACGUGAUAAUCUGUCCAGCAUUCUGAUUUGGGUCUGAUUGUGUCUGUCUGACUCUUUGCAAUCCUUGCGAGUCACUCUCUUCUCACUUUUGUGUGUGCAAUCCCAGAAGCCACACGUUGUCUCUGAAUACAAUAUUCAUUCAUCCAUCAGCCUACAGUCAGGCCACGAGAAAUUUAAUUCAAGGGUUCCAUCAAGGGAACAU